rnacentral:tRNA from 1 species
GCUUCCUUAGCUCAGUUGGUAGAGCACGACACUCUUAAUGUUGGGGGGUCCAGGGUUCGAGCCCCUGAGGGAGCACCA